ensembl:lincRNA Gm14762 predicted gene 14762
AGCAGAACUUCUUUUUUAAAGGGGAGUAUCAGUCUGUGGCACAGGAUCACACUAUUCAAUCCUUCUAUUGGCCUGAAAAUGGAGCCCUUUCUGUCUCUUGUGCUGUCUCCUGUGGUGGAAUCGCCCAUCAUCACUCCCCACACUUUCUUUGAAUUAGACAGGAUUUUUAAAAAGAGCAGAAAGACUCGGUGCCCUGGAGAGAAAGACCCAUCCCAGUUCACAAAGAGUUGACCAGACUAGCCAGAGAGACUUCUGGCUGCCUGGACAGAGAAGAGAGCUAUAUCAAUAAAUCCUUUACCUAAUCACCCUGCUGUUAGCAACAAGUGUCAAUAGAUCCAGAGGACUGCUGCUUAUGGCUUCAGAGUAACUUCAAGAUAGCACACGUUAUAGAGAGCAACUUUACUCCCUUGCAAGACCAAGUCCUGUCCUGCUAAAUUGUAUCCCCUUCUCUUCCAUAAGACUCCCCUAAUUGCUACCUAAAUGUUUGGCUAUGGGUCUUUGCAUCUGUUUCCAUCAGCUGCUGGGUGAAGCUUCUCAGAUGACAUCUACCUAGGUUCCUGUCUGCAAGCACAGCAGAGGAUCAUUAAUAGUGUCCGUGGUUGGCUCUCUUCCAUGGGGUGGGUCUCAAGUUGGGCCAGUCAUUAGAAUGGCUGUUCCCUCAGUCUCUGCUCCAUCUUUAACCCGUGUGCAUCUUGUAGGUUGAAGGUUUUGUGGGUCUGUUGAUGUUCCCCUCCCUCUACUAGAAGUUCCCCUGGCGAUGGGCACUUCAGUUUUCAAAUCCUCAGCUGCUAGGAUGCUAGGAACCUCCGGUAGAAUCACCCCCAUAGAUGCCUGGCAGCCUGCUCCAUCCCAGGUCUCAGACUCCUCUCAGAGAUGUGCCCCCCCCCAUUUUUCGUUCUCUCUCCCAGCUCUCCCCUCACAUAUGAUCCCCACUCCACAUAUGAGCUCCUCACUCCACACAUAUGAUCCCCACUCCAGUUUCUCUCCCCAACCCAUCUUCCAUCCAGUUCUCUCCCUCCAUCCAUCUCUAAUGUUUAUUCCAUUUCCCUAUCUGAGUAAGAUUCAAGAAUCCUAACUUGGACCCCCAUUGUUAGCUACUUUGGGUUUGUGGAUUAUAGCAUCAUUUUCCUGUACUUUAUGGCUAAUAUACACCUAUAAUUGAGUACAUACUAAUUGUGUCUUCUUGAAUCUGGGUUACCCCAGUCAAGAUAUUUUCUAGUUAUACCCAUUUACCUGCAAAUUUCAUGGUGUCUUUGUUUUCAAUAGCUGAAUAGUACUCCAUUAUGUAAAUCCACAAUGGAAGAAUAUCCAUUCUUCAGUUGAGGGACAUCUAAGUUGUUUCUAGUUUCUGGCUAUUAUGGAUAAAACUGCUAUGAACGUAUCUGAGCAAGUGUCCUUGUGGGAUAGUGGAGCUUCUUUUGGAUAUAUGCCCA